rnacentral:rRNA from 1 species
GACGAACCGUGCGAACGUUAUUCGGAAUCACUGGGCGUAAAGGGUGCGUAGGCGGGUCUUUAAGUCAGGGGUGAAAUCCUGGAGCUCAACUCCAGAACUGCCUUUGAUACUGAGGAUCUUGAGUUCGGGAGAGGUGAGUGGAACUGCGAGUGUAGAGGUGAAAUUCGUAGAUAUCUGGAGGAACACCGGUGGCGAAGGCGGCAUCCUGGACCGGUAUUGACGCUGAGGCGCGAAAGCCAGGGGAGCAAAGCGGG